GUCUAACCUAUUUUCUCUCUCAUUGAAUCACGUCUCCACCUCUCUUCUGGCCGAUUCAUUCCUAUUUUUUUCAUCUCUUCCUGUUGAUUUCACCGCAGAUUCAUCCCCAAUAUUUCCAUAAUUCCAUCCCCAAGAUUUCCAUCCAUUCUCUGUCGAUUUCAUCAAGGUUCAUCCCCAAGAUUUCCAUCUAUUUCUGUCGAUUAUAUUCUUCUAUAUGUUCUGCAAAUUCCAUGUGAAAUUUAGGAAAAAAAUGUCAGCAUCGAUGAUUUGAAUCAGUGGAGAAUCUGGAGAUUGUUUCUCCUUCAGUUCAUUAAUAAGGUAAUUAUUAAAACCUAGCGUGACUAUAGUCACUAUACAAGAUUUGUUUAUAUAUUCAAUGGCGACCUCGUGUUUCAAUCCGUUUCGACUGCGCAAGUCAAAGAGCAAAUCUUUAUCAAUUCUUUCUACUUCAAGAACUUAGUUAAGCAAUGAUGCAGAUAAUAUGGAGAGGAAGAGAUCUGACAGUUUGGAAUCUUGGUCAAUGAUAUUGGAUUUUAAGAAUGUUGAGACUUGGGAAGCAUCUGAACAUAAAGAGGAAUGGACGGCUGAUCUUUCUCAGUUAUUUAUAGGCAAUAAAUUUGCUUCUGGUGCACAUAGUAGAAUUUACAGAGGAAUUCAUAAGCAGAGAGUAGUUGCUGUAAAAAUGGUGAGAAUUCCAACUCAUAAUGAGGAAUCUAGAACUUUACUUGAACAACAAUUCAAGUCAGAAGUUGCCUUUCUUUCACGUCUUUAUCAUCCAAUAUAGUGGAGGUUAGAUUUCCUUAUAUCUUUGUGAAUAAUGAAAAUCAUACAUUUUAAAUAAACUAGUCAUUCUGGAACAACAUACAAAAUUUCAACUUCUUUUUCGUACUUAAUCCUGUUGAUUCCAACCUGCCAAACAUAUCUUUAAUAUAGUAAUUCAGAUUAUGUUUUGGUGCACUUUUGGCAAUAAUAGUAUUUCAAGAACUAGUCAAUACCAUUACCAGCAAAUGAUUUUGACGAAAUUAAUUUAGCUUGCAUUUAGUUCACGUUUUCUUAGUGUCAAAGUUUGAUCAGGUUGGUGGAUUGACCUCUAGGGCAACAACCUAACUCAAAAGCUCUACUGUUAUGGUUUUAGAUGAUUGUACAGCAUAAAAUCUUCACAACAAUCAAUUCAAACAUUUAAAAUUUCAUUUGCCAAUUGCAAUGGGGGAAUUUUGGACUUGGUUUAUAUUGCUCCCCUUCCACAUGAUGAUGUGGGCAAGUGUUUGAAGCUCCACCACUAGCAACAUCGUAAGUUGUUAUCUAAGAUUAGUAAUAGUAUUUCUGUCGCCCGGUUGAGUUGUUUUGUCAUACUAAGUUAUGCAAAUGCUGUUUUACAGGGUUUGAUAGGUUGAUCACGGUGAUUGGUACAUUUGAUGGACAAAUUAAAAUGAUUGAACUGGUAAUUAAGCUUGUUUGAUAGAAUAUUAAGCACUAUUGAAGUGCACAUAAUUGAGUUUUUCAUCUUUAAGGAUAUUCGAGAGCUUUUACUUCCUGUCAGCAUAGUUUCCAACGACAAGUAUGGUUUGGUUUCUUCCAUCACUCUUCCCAGGUUGUAACCAGACAAUCGUAAUAUGUUGGUUUCAUGCUCCUUGGGUUGUCAAUUUGGCUCUAGUCCCGUCUUGUUUUUCAGGUAUGUUGAUUUUCCAUUUGGCUUUUGUGAUUUGGUCCGAUAACUUUGGCGUUUAUUGGUCUGGGGAGUGACACAGGCACUUGUAUUCUAAUCCAACAUUAUGGUAGCAUUGAUUUUGUCCAUAUCAAUUUCCGUCACUAAUUAGAGUUUCGACUUUUUUUCAGUU